rnacentral:rRNA from 1 species
GCCCGCUCAGAAACUCAAAGGAAUUGACGGGGCCCGGCACAAGCGGUGGAGUAUGUGGUUAAUUCGAUGCAACGCGAAGAACCUUACCUGGUCUUGACAUCCCGGAGACCCUUAGGAAACUAGGGGGUGCUUCCAUCUGGAAGAAUCUGGAGACAGGUGCUGCAUGGCUGUCGUCAGCUCGUGUCGUGAGAUGUUGGGUUAAGUCCCGCAACGAGCGCAACCCUUGCCUUUAGUUGCCAGCAGUUCGGCUGGGCACUCUAAAGGGACUACCGGUGUUAAACCGGAGGAAGGUGGGGAUGACGUCAAGUCCUCAUGGCCUUUAUGACCAGGGCUACACACGUACUACAAUGGCCGAUACAAAGGGCAGCGACACUGCGAGGUGAAGCCAAUCCCGUAAAAUCGGUCUCAGUCCGGAUUGGAGUCUGCAACUCGACUCCAUGAAGUUGGAAUCGCUAGUAAUCGUGGAUCAGCAUGCCACGGUGAAUACGUUCCCGGGCCUU